AAGUCGUAACAAGGUUUCCGUAGGUGAACCUGCAGGAACGGAUCAUUUAAAAGUUGAUUGGUUAUACAUUUCAUGUAUCAACUGCAUUAACCCAUUCCGAGUACCUUGCCUGUUGCUUCCAUGGGGCCUGACCUAGGUCACUCUUGUGAUGUGAAACCCAAGAGAGUCCCCAUGGGAGGUAAUCAGUUAAAUUCAUGUAUCCCAAUGUCUUCUGUCUCCAACUGUUUAUAACAAAAUGUUAAAA
rnacentral:misc_RNA from 1 species